GAAUUCAGUGAAUCAUCGAAUCUUUGAACGCACAUUGCGCCCCUUGGUAUUCCGGGGGGCAUGCCUGUUCGAGCGUCAU
rnacentral:rRNA from 1 species